rnacentral:rRNA from 1 species
UGGGGAAUAUUGCACAAUGGGGGAAACCCUGAUGCAGCGACGCCGCGUGAACGAAGAAGGUAUUCGUAUCGUAAAGUUCUGUCCUAUGGGAAGAUAAUGACAGUACCAUAGAAGAAAGCUCCGGCUAAAUACGUGCCAGCAGCCGCGGUAAUACGUAUGGAGCGAGCGUUGUCCGGAAUUAUUGGGCGUAAAGGGUACGCAGGCGGUUUAAUAAGUCGAAUGUUAAAGAUCGGGGCUCAACCCCGCAAAGCAUUGGAAACUGAUAAACUUGAGUAGUGGAGAGGAAAGUGGAAUUCCUAGUGUAGUGGUGAAAUACGUAGAUAUUGGGAGGAAUACCAGUAGCGAAGGCGACUUUCUGGACACAAACUGACGCUGAGGUACGAAAGCGUGGGGAGCAAACAGG